AACGAACGCUGGCGGCGCGUCUUAAGCAUGCAAGUCGAACGGCAAGAGAGGAGCUUGCUUCUCUCCUAGAGUGGCGGACUGGUGAGGAACACGUGGGUAAUCUACCCUUAAGAUGGGGAUAGCUGCUAGAAAUAGCAGGUAAUACCGAAUACACUCGGCAUAUCACAAGAGGUGUUGAGGAAAGGAAGCUACGGCUUCGCUUGAGGAUGAGCUUGCGUCCCAUUAGCUAGUUGGUGAGGUAAAGGCCCACCAAGGCGACGAUGGGUAUCCGGCCUGAGAGGGUGAACGGACACAUUGGGACUGAGAUACGGCCCAAACUCCUACGGGGGGCAGCAGCUAAGAAUAUUCCGCAAUGGACGGAAGUCUGACGGAGCGACGCCGCGUGGAUGAAGAAGGCUGAAAAGUUGUAAAAUCCUUUUGUUGAUGAAGAAUAAGGGUGAGAGGGAAUGCUCAUCUGAUGACGGUAAUCGACGAAUAAGCCCCGGCUAAUUACGUG
rnacentral:rRNA from 1 species